UACCUGGUUGAUACUGCCAGUAGUCAUAUGCUUGUCUCAAAUAUUAAGCCAUGCAUGUAUAAGUAUGAACUAAUUCAGACAGUGAAACUGCGGAUGGCUCAUUAAAUCAAUUAUAGUUUCUUUGAUGGUACCCUACUACUCAGAUAACCAUAGUAAUUCUAGAGAUAAUACGUGCACCAAGUCCCAACUCUUUGGAAGGGAUGCAUUUAUUAGAUAAAAGGCUGGCGCAUGCUUUCCUGCUUCUCUGGUGAAUCAUGAUAACUUGAUGGAUUGCACAUCCUUUGUGCUAACGAUGCUUCAUUCAAAUUUCUUCCCUAUCAACUUUCGAUGGUAGGAUAG
rnacentral:ncRNA from 1 species